CCUACGGGUGACAGCAGUGAGGAAUAUUGGUCAAUGGGCGCGAGCCUGAACCAGCCAAGUAGCGUGAAGGAUGACUGCCCUACGGGUUGUAAACUUCUUUUAUAAAGGAAUAAAGUGAGGCACGUGUGCCUUUUUGUAUGUACUUUAUGAAUAAGGAUCGGCUAACUCCGUGCCAGAAGCCGCGGUAAUACGGAGGAUUCGAGCGUUAUCCGGGUUUUUUGGGUUUAAAGGGAGCGUAGAUGGGUUGUUAAGUCAGUUGUGAAAGUUUGCGGCUCAACCGUAAAAUUGCAAUUGAUACUGGCAGUCUUGAGUACAGUGGAGGUAGGCGGAAUGCGUGGUGUAGCGGUGAAAUGCAUAGAUAUCACGAAGAACUCCGAUUGCGAAGGCAGCUUACUAACCUGCAACUGACACUGAUGCUCGAAAGUGUGGGUAUCAAACAGGAUUAGAUACCCGAGUAGUC
rnacentral:rRNA from 1 species